rnacentral:rRNA from 1 species
UACGGGGGGGGGAAGCGUUGUUCGGAAUUACUGGGCGUAAAGGGCUCGUAGGCGGCCAACUAAGUCAGACGUGAAAUCCCUCAGCUUAACUGGGGAACUGCGUCUGAUACUGGAUGGCUUGGAUUUGGGAGAGGAAUGCGGAAUUCCAGGUGUAGCGGUGAAAUGCGUAGAUAUCUGGAGGAACACCGGUGGCGAAGGCGGCAUUCUGGACCAAUAUUGACGCUGAGGAGCGAAAGCCAGGGGAGCAAACGGG